UUCCUGGAUAAUUGUGAUUAUGUGUGCGACGUGUUUGACAUGCUGGUUGUUUGGCCUGAAGGUAUUUGCCUCUGCUACUCUGGUAUUCUUAAUAGGCCGUGUGCCUCCUGUGGGCUCACUAACAGCAGCGUGCAUACGUCACAAAUGUUCUCUGAGUAGGUGGCAGAUGAAUACCGGAUGCAAAUGAUAAGAAUGGUAGAAAAGGUAACCGAGAAGCACGGUCAACAACAGGUAACAAGAGAGAGGAGCAGAGGAGGGGAACAGAUGAUGCAGAGGAAAGACAAAGUAACAAGAGGUGCAGGAGAAAAAUGAGCAGCCAGCUGAAGCCCCGUUUUCCAGAGCUGGCUUUUAUUAGUGAAUGUUACCACGCUCUGUUCCUCAUUAACUCACCACAGCGUGGAGGUGCAGCAGAGGAAGAGUGGACUCUUUCCUGCAGGUUAGGCAAUGCAGACUGAGUCUAAAUCCAUCCUCGGGACAUCUCUCCACAAAACUAAGCUGCCAGAGGCCAAAGUGUUAGAGGUGAGGACCGCAAGCAUAUAUCGUUAUUCGACCUUCAUCAACCAAAGCGACCGUGAAAUUUGGACAAGGUGCAGCAUCGAGAUAACUUGGCAGCUGCAAAUUUUUUCCCAAAAUGUGGUAUGUGAUAUCGAAUUAAACCUUCCAUUUUCAUUUAGGUCAACAGAAGCAUCAGAGGAAAGUUAUUGUAUUUUUAUUAUAAAAGUAUCCUAUAAAUCUUAUGUUUAUGCUGAAAUUAAGGAGAAUAG